AGUAGUGAAAUUUGGUUGUUAUUUUGUAAUUAGUAAUAGAAAUUGAAGCUAAAAAAGUUUAAUUAUAAACUAGGAUUAGAUACCCUAUUAUUUAAAAAAGAAUUUUUUACACUAGAUUAGUAGUAGAUAUAUACUUAAAAAUUAAAAAAUUUGGCGGUAAUUUAGUCUUUUCAGAGGAAUUUGUUUUUUAAUCGAUAAAACUCGUAAUAUCUUACUUAAGCUUGUAUACCAUCAUUAUUAGUUAAUCUUUGAGGAUGUUAUUUACUAAAAUUAUUUUUAAUAAAUAAAUUAGAUCAUGGUGCAGUUUAUAGAUAAGGUAAAAUGAAUUACAAUAAAUUAAUUUAUAUGAAUUAAUAAUUAUGAAAGAGGAUUUGAUUGUAUGUAAGUUUAAUAAGCUUAAAAGAUAUAGGCUCUAAAUUAUGUACAUAUCGCCCGUCGCUUUC
rnacentral:rRNA from 1 species